UAUCUGGUCACAAGAAGGGAAGGGAGGAAAUAGAAAACAGGGCUGUCCUCAGAAUACAUGGAAGAGAGUGGCUCUGGUGGCAGUAUGCGCCAAGGAGGAGCCCAGCAGCAGGGAAAGCCCGGCUUGCUGUGACACAGCAGUUAGGGAUCUAUCACACUGAGUGGAAAACACUGCACUAGUGAGUGGGGAGAGGGCUGCUUCCAUCUCCAGUCGCAAUCGCCUCCAGAAAAAGACCGGCCACCAACUGGCGAUGCCUUGGCUUAGUUCACAGCAUAGCCAUUUCUGAGAUAAGAAACUUGUUCUUAAAGUCCUCAGAAUAUCCUCCCCCCUCCCCUCGCCCCCACCCCUCAGGCGACAGCAGCAGCAGCAGCCGCAGCCACCGCGAUGAUGCUCUGGAGAAAAACAAAAGGUCUCUAUUCCACUAAACUCAUCUUGCAGUGUUGACAGGUUGGUCGCCGUGCCCAUGCUGAGAGCCCAGAUGCCAACGCUGCCAGAACAGAAGUCAUCGCUGGCCCGGGGGGAGCGGUUCGCGCCACCAGCAUUCCCAGCAUCUCCUUUGGCUUCUCAGGUCCCGACCUCCUCGUUUGCGAGCUGAGGCCUGGGAGACUAAGGGCACGGCUGCCCGUGAUUGGGCAAUGCCCACAAGGCCGCCGGCUCUCUCCCCGGGGGGGAGGCAAGGAUGGAGGGCACGAUGCUGGCAGCUGCACAAGGAAGAACGGACCGAGGCCGGAGCAGCUGAGCCGGCGCGGGACGCAGGCGGUGGGACCCCGACCUCCCCGGCUCCCCCACCCCCACCCCGAGGGUGAGGAAGCUGAGACUCGGAGAUGCAGAGAUUUUCCCAUGCUCACACAGUUUGUACUUGGAAUCAUUCUGGAGAGUUCUAACACAGAUGAGGAAGUAGUUGGAAUGGGAUUCUGCACUGGAAUGUCUUUUUGCACAAAUGGAAGAUUUUAAAAUCCUAGGGAUUCUUAGUGAUGAAAAGUAUCGUACACUUUCUUACAACGAGGAGAGAGAUGCGUGGAAUUCAGCCAUAUGGGAGUAUUGGAUUCAGACUCAGAGCCCUGGGAUUUGAAUCCAGUCUCUGACUUUUGCUUGUGUGACCUUGAGUAAUUCACAUACUUCCCUGGGCCUCAUUUUCCAGAUUUGGGGAAUGAAGGAGUUGGACUACAUGGCCUAUAAGGGCCCUUCAUGUUAGACAUCUCGAAGCCUAGAUUUUACGCUGAAUAGUCUAAAUAGGCACAAGCUGAUCAUUAAAGGCUCUCCAGGGAGCCAGGCAGCCAGUUAUCAUUUGGGCCUAUGAGAAAGAUGGUAAAUCCCAGCAGGAAAGCAGAAGAGGCCAGACAUAGUACAAUUUGGUUUUUGUAGUUUCAAGAAACUAAAAAGGGUGAUUUGUGGCUCUCUCAGGGGAAGAUGUGUGCUACAGAGCAGGACAGGAGAGCAGCAACUUCUCAGUUUUUGAACUUGGGUCACCCAGUUCCUCCUGUCUCAGGAAAGCCUUGGGUAACCCUGGCUCUGAGGUUAGAAAAGAGGUAGAUAGCAAGGUUUGUGUUAGAUUGUCAUGUGAGAAUGCUGGUGGACAAGAUCCCUUAUAUUGGAUCCAGAAGCUCUGGAACAUCCUAAGAACGUGCCAUGUUCUGGUCCAGAGGACCGCUAGAAUCCUCAGUGAGCUGCUCUAUGGUUUGGAAUAUGGAUUUUGGGCCUUAAAGUAGCUACUCUGUGACUCUUAGGUUCACAGCUGAGUAUUGACAAGAACUCCUGGGGAUCAAUAGUCAUCGGGUGAGAAGUGGGGGGUGCGUUGAAAGGGAGAGUUUCAGCUAUGCACCUACAAUCGACAGAAGCUUGUAGACUAUUUCAGCUUUUACUGAGUGGUAUAUUCUCAGUUUCUGGUCCCAUUAUCUGGCUGGGUUAGAAGAAGAAGAAGAUCUGGUUAGCAAAAUAUUCUGCUGAAUAGACACCGUAUGCAUUUUUUCUUUCUAUACAUAGAUUUCCAAGUUUUUUGAGACUUAGAAUAGCAGAAAACCUACAUGCAUUUGUGACAGCAUUUGUCAUCAGCAGAGUGAGCUGGAGAGCUGUGUCUGCCAUCCCAAAUCUUAGUUCCUCUAUGACUGAGGAAGGCUAAGUUGGGAUAUGGAAAUACACAGACUCAGCAGUUCCCUAUUUCUUUUUUUAAUUCAUUUUUUUAUUUUUCCCCAAUUCCAACAAUCAUUUUAAAAAGUGAGUUUCAAAGAAAUGAUCUCCCUUCUUCCCUCCCAAUUCCCCUUCUAGAGAAUGCGUGCAAAUUGAUAUAGGUUAUACAUAUGUAGUCACACAAAACAUAUUUCCAUAUUAGUCAUAUUGUAAAAGAAAACAUAGACCCAAAUAAACCCCCAAGAAAAUGAAAUUUAAAAAGUAUUCUUCAGUUUGUAGUCAGACUCCAUCAGUUCUUUCUCUGGGUAUGGAUGGCAUUUUUCUUUAGUCCUUCGGUGUUAUAUUGGAUCAUUGGAUUGCUGAGAAUAAAGGCUGUUCCUCAUUUUGACCCCUCUCUUUGCACGUGGUCAUUGGUCUGACUGCUCACAUAUAUGUGUACUAGAUGGGGAAGAAGGGUCCCUUGUCCAUGGUCAGAGAACAGACAACCAGGGUGUCAAUCUAUCCUUGGAAGAUUAAGGCUGGAGCUUCCACUGCCAAUAAUGGAAAAAAAGUUUUCUUGCCCCACUUGGCUUGAAUAUGAUAUUGAUGGAAAAUACUUGUGAUAUGACUAUUGAUAAUGGUGGUUACAAGCAUCCUGAAUUCAUUAGAGGUAGAACAUCCAGCAGCUGAUACUCUUUGUGAACUGGUUGAUCCACAAGAUAGGGAAGUUAGAGCCCGUAGGAUAUCUGUGGCUAUUAUCGCAGUCAGGACAUCAAAGAAAUGCUGACGAGUCAAGUCAGCAAUUCACCCCACAUCAAUCAUCGGUGCCCAUUGACUGGUCUGGAAGGAAGUAGUGUACUUUAUUGAUCAGAACUUCAUCAUUAGCACAGGUGAACUUGGCAAAGAUUAUAGAAGUAAGGCUGCUAAAACAUCCAUAUCUUCUAAGGCCAUUGGAAUUGAUGGCAAUUCCUUUGCCAAUAUGGUAAUAGAGGAAGUACUUACAGCAAAAGAUACAGAGGUGAAAGGUCAGCUUUGAUUUCUACUCAACUCUGUUAUUGCUUUGAAGUCCUGUGGCAAAAGUCAGAAGGAAAGUAUGCGUAUAAAUGGUUAUGGACCUAAUUGUAUGGUGGAAUCAUGGGGUGGGCCCAAGAAAAUAAUGAAUGCAAAAACCCUUUGCCUUGACUUCAACCUACCAAAACCACAAAUGAAUCUUGGUGUG